rnacentral:misc_RNA from 1 species
GUUCGAGCGUCAGUACAACACUCAAGCCUAGCUUGGUCUUGGGCCUCGCCGGAAACGGCGGGCCUUAAAAUCAGUGGCGGUGCAUCCGGCUCCGAGCGUAGUAAUUCUUCUCGCUCUGGAGGUCCGGUUGUGUGCUUGCCAUCAACCCCCAAUUUUUUCAGGUUGACCUCGGAUCAGGUAGGGAUACCCGCUGAACUUAA